UACAGAGGUCCCAAGCGUUGUUCGGAUUCACUGGGCGUAAAGGGUGCGUAGGUGGUUAGGUAAGUCCGAUGUGAAAUCUCCCGGCUCAACUGGGAGGGUGCGGUGGCGACUGCCGGACUGGAGGCACUCAGAGGCCGGUGGAAUUCCCGGUGUAGUGGUGAAAUGCGUAGAGAUCGGGAGGAACACCAGUGGCGAAGGCGGCCGGCUGGGGGUGACCUGACGCUGAGGCGCGAAAGCGUGGGGAGCGAACAGG
rnacentral:rRNA from 1 species